rnacentral:tRNA from 1 species
AAUUAAAUAGUCUAAAUAGGAUAAUAAAUUGCAAAUUUAUUGGUGAAUAAUUUCUUUAAUUU